rnacentral:rRNA from 1 species
AAUGAACGCUGGCGGCGUGCGUAACACAUGCAAGUCGAACGAGAAAUUCCGGGCUUGCUCGGGAGAGUUAAGUGGCGAACGGGUGAGUAACGCGUGGGUAACCUGCCCUUGAAUCUGGAAUAUCUUAGUGAAAGCGAGGCUAAUACCGGAUAUGGUCCCAGAGACCGUGGCCCUUGUGAUGAAAGAUCACCUCUUCCCGCAGGUUGUCGUUCAGGGAGUGGCCGGCGUACCAUUAGCUAGUUGGUAGGGUAAAGGCCUACCAAGGCGAUGAUGGUUAGCUGGUCUGAGAGGAUGACCAGCCACACUGGCACUGAAACACGGGCCAGACUCCUACGGGAGGCAGCAGUGAGGAAUUUUGCGCAAUAGGGGAAACCCUGACGCAGCAACGCCGCGUGAGUAAAGAAGGCCCUCGGGUCGUAAAGCUCUGUCAAGUGGGAAAAAAGCUUACUGGUGAACAGCCAGGAAGACUGAUGGUACCAUUGAAGGAAGCACCGGCUAACUCCGUGCCAGCCGCCGCCGUAA